rnacentral:rRNA from 1 species
CAAUAGCGUAUAUUAAAGUUGUUGCGGUUAAAAAGCUCGUAGUUGGAUUUCUGCCGAGGACGUCCGGUCCACCCUCUGGGUGUGUACAUGGCACGGCCUGGGCAUCUUCUUGGGGUACGUAUCUGCACUUGACUGUGUGGUGCGGAAUCCAGGACUUUUACUUUGAGGAAAUUAGAGUGUUUCAAGCAGGCACGCGCCUUGAAUACAUUAGCAUGGAAUAAUAAGAUAGGACCUCGGUUCUAUUUUGUUGGUUUCUAGAGCUGAGGUAAUGAUUAAUAGGGAUAGUUGGGGGCAUUCGUAUUUAACUGUCAGAGGUGAAAUUCUUAGAUUUACGGAAGACGAACUACUGCGAAAGCAUUUACCAAGGAUGUUUUCAUUAA